rnacentral:rRNA from 1 species
AUAUUACAAUAUAUUUUUUUUCUUUUUUAUAUUUUUUUUUGUAAAAUGUUUAGAUUUUUAUUGUAUUUUUUUGUAAUAUUUAAAAUUUGUUUCUUGAACUGGAUUAGUACCCAGGUAAUCAAAGUUUAUUAAUUCGGGAGUAAAGUUUUGUUUAAACCGAAAAAAUAUUGACUGACUUUAGAUUUUUCUUUGGAACAUGUGUAUUUUUUGGAGAGCCCUCUUUUUUGGUAAAUUUUAUUGGCACAUGUAUGAUUGUUUAGUUUUUAUAUUAUAAGUAAUGCUUAAUGUUUUUUUUUUUUUU